rnacentral:lncRNA from 10 species
GGAGAGAUAAUGGGCGAUGUUUCUCAGGGCUGCUUUGGGCAGGAUUAGGGGCGGCGUGGGAACCUAGAGGGGGAGAGAUUAAGCUGAAGGAAGAUUUUGAGGGGAGCGGUCAGAUGGGUCUGUAGAAAAGAAAGAUUAGAAAGACUCAGGGAUGCUUGGGGUUGGGAUUGAGGGGACAGGUGGGAGGGAAAGAACGAAGAUUUGGGACGAGUUGCAUUGGUAACAGAGACUAGGGAGGGACAAUGUGUAAAAGAAUGCCUGGACGUCAGGCUCCUCAGACCAUUUGCCUAUUUU